AGAGUUUGAUCCUGGUUCAGGACGAACGCUGGCGGCGUGCCUAACACAUGCAAGUCGAACGAUUCGAUUUCGAACUUCGAUCUUCGAAUUUCGAAUAUCGAAUAGUGGCGGACGGGUGGGUAACGCGUGGGUAACCUACCCAUAAAGUCGGGACAACCCUUGGAAACGAGGGCUAAUACCGGAUAAGCUUAGGGAGUGGCAUCACUCAUUAAGGAAAGGCGGCCUCUGAGUAUGCUGCCGAUUAUGGAUGGACCCGCGUCUGAUUAGCUGGUUGGUGGGGUAAAGGCCUACCAAGGCGACGAUCAGUAGCCGGCCUGAGAGGGUGAACGGCCACACUGGGACUGAGACACGGCCGAGACUCCUACGGGAGGCAGCAGUGGGGAAUCUUCCGCAAUGGACGAAAGUCUGACGGAGCAACGCCGCGUGUAUGAAGAAGGUCUUCGGAUUGUAAAGUACUGUACUAUGGGGAAGAAUGACUGGUUCAGAAUAUUAUCAGAAGACGGUACCAAGGA
rnacentral:rRNA from 1 species